rnacentral:lncRNA from 1 species
AACCAAGUGCUUGUAAAUUGAAACAUCAUCUGAAGCAAGUAUUGAAGAUCCAUUUGAGUUCAUCUGCUACAUGGUCUUAUUGAAGCUAUUACUUUGAACCUGUGCCUAGUGCCUAUCUUUGAGUUCAUCUGAUGCAUGGGAGAUUAUGGAGAAGAACAUGGAGUUUCUAAGCUUGGAUGUGGCUAUCUUUAUUUGAUACCUUGCUCUUCAUCUUGCUAUUUGUGUAUUGAUAUUGCUUGACUCUAAAGUCCAAGGGAAAUUU